CAGAUUAUAGCAUAUAUUUAAUGUAUUUUAUUUACACUAGAAAGAAAUUUUUUUAA
rnacentral:tRNA from 1 species